rnacentral:rRNA from 1 species
UACGGAGGGUGCAAGCGUUAUCCGGAUUUACUGGGUUUAAAGGGUGCGUAGGUGGGUUGGUAAGUCAGUGGUGAAAUACUUUCGCUUAACGAAGGAACUGCCAUUGAUACUACCAGUCUUGAAUACAGUGGAGGUAGGCGGAAUGCGUCAUGUAGCGGUGAAAUGCUUAGAUAUGACGCAGAACACCAAUUGCGAAGGCAGCUUGCUAACACUGUUAUUGACACUGAGGCACGAAAGCGUGGGGAUCAAACAGG